rnacentral:rRNA from 1 species
ACGAACGCUGGCGGCGUGCUUAACACCUGCAAGUCGAACGGAAAGGCCCUGCUUGCAGGGUACUCGAGUGGCGAACGGGUGAGUAACACGUGGGUGAUCUGCCCUGCACUUCGGGAUAAGCCUGGGAAACUGGGUCUAAUACCGGAUAGGAGCCAUUUUUCGUGUGAUGGUUGGAAAGUUUUUUCGGUGUAGGAUGAGCUCGCGGCCUAUCAGCUUGUUGGUGGGGUAAUGGCCUACCAAGGCGGCGACGGGUAGCCGGCCUGGGAGGGUGGACGGCCACAUUGGGACUGAGAUACGGCCCAGACUCCUACGGGAGGCAGCAGUGGGGAAUAUUGCACAAUGGGCGCAAGCCUGAUGCAGCGACGCCGCGUGGGGGAUGACGGCCUUCGGGUUGUAAACUCCUUUCGCUAGGGACGAAGCUUUUUGUGACGGUACCUAGAUAAGAAGCACCGGCUAACUACGUG